rnacentral:rRNA from 1 species
UACGUAGGUGGCAAGCGUUAUCCGGAAUUAUUGGGCGUAAAGCGCUCGCAGGCGGUUUCUUAAGUCUGAUGUGAAAGCCCACGGCUCAACCGUGGAGGGUCAUUGGAAACUGGGAGACUUGAGUGCAGAAGAGGAGAGUGGAAUUCCACGUGUAGCGGUGAAAUGCGUAGAGAUGUGGAGGAACACCAAUGGCGAAGGCAGCACUCUGGGACGUGACUGACGCUGAGACGCGAAAGCGUGGGGAGCAAACAGG